UAAUAGAGCUGUUUGCUUCGCUGAGGAUGCCUUUUGAAUGUAUGACUAUUCUAUCAGCCUGCAUGAUGAGCAAUCAAAGAGCAGCCCCAUAAGUCACUUUUGGAAGUGCUGUUUGAACCUAGGAAAUUCAAGAGAGCGAACACAAGCGGAAAGGAUGAUCAGAGAGAGGGAGAAGCAGACUCCCGGCUGGGAGGGAGCCUGA
rnacentral:lncRNA from 1 species